rnacentral:rRNA from 1 species
CCUACGGGAGGCUGCAGUGAGGAAUAUUGGUCAAUGGACGAGAGUCUGAACCAGCCAAGUAGCGUGAAGGAUGACUGCCCUAUGGGUUGUAAACUUCUUUUAUAUGGGAAUAAAACGUUCCACGUGUGGGAUUUUGUAUGUACCAUAUGAAUAAGGAUCGGCUAACUCCGUUCCAGCAGCCGCGGUAAUACGGAGGAUCCGAGCGUUAUCCGGAUUUAUUGGGUUUAAAGGGAGCGUAGGUGGAUUGUUAAGUCAGUUGUGAAAGUUUGCGGCUCAACCGUAAAAUUGCAGUUGAAACUGGCAGUCUUGAGUACAGUAGAGGUGGGCGGAAUUCGUGGUGUAGCGGUGAAAUGCUUAGAUAUCACGAAGAACUCCGAUUGCGAAGGCAGUUCACUGGACUGCAACUGACACUGAGGCUCGAAAGUGUGGGUAUCAAACAGGAUUAGAUACCCGGGUAGUC